GACGAACGCUGGCGGCGUGCUUAACACAUGCAAGUCGAACGGAAAGGCCCUGCUUUUGUGGGGUGCUCGAGUGGCGAACGGGUGAGUAACACGUGAGUAACCUGCCCUUGACUUUGGGAUAACUUCAGGAAACUGGGGCUAAUACCGGAUAGGAGCUCCUGCUGCAUGGUGGGGGUUGGAAAGUUUCGGCGGUUGGGGAUGGACUCGCGGCUUAUCAGCGUGUUGGUGGGGUAGUGCUUACCAAGGCUUUGACGGGUAGCCGGCCUGAGAGGGUGACCGGCCACAUUGGGACUGAGAUACGGCCCAGACUCCUACGGGAGGCAGCAGUGGGGAAUAUUGCACAAUGGGCGGAAGCCUGAUGCAGCAACGCCGCGUGCGGGAUGACGGCCUUCGGGUUGUAAACCGCUUUCGCCUGUGACGAAGCGUGAGUGACGGUAAUGGGUAAAGAAGCACCGGCUAACUCCGUG
rnacentral:rRNA from 1 species